rnacentral:rRNA from 1 species
AUUGAACGCUGGCGGCAGGCCUAACACAUGCAAGUCGAACGGUAGCACAGAGAGCUUGCUCUCGGGUGACGAGUGGCGGACGGGUGAGUAAUGUCUGGGAAACUGCCCGAUGGGGGGUGAUAACUACUGGAAACGGUAGCUAAUACCGCAUAACGGCGCAAUACCAAAGUCGGGGACCUUCGUGCCUCACACCAUAGGAUGUGCCAAGCUGGGAUUAGCUAGUAGGUGGGGUAAUGGCUCACCUAGGCGACGAUCCCUCGCUGGUCUGAGAGGAUGACCGGCCACACUGGAACGGAGACACGGUCCAGACUCCUACGGGAGGCAGCAGUGGGGAAUAUUGCACAAUGGGCGCAAGCCUGAUGCAGCCAUGCCGCGUGUAUGAAGAAGGCCUUCGGGUUGUAAAGUACUUUCAGCGGGGAGGAAGGCGGUGGAGUUAAUAACUUCACCGAUUGACGUUACCCGCAGAAGAAGCACCGGCUAACUCCGUGCCAGCAGCCGCCGCCG